AGGAUGAAGCUGAGGAGAGUCUGGUGAGGGUCGAUGAUGAUGAGCUCCUGAAGAACAAGCGCCUGGAGAAGAAAUGCAGACUGAAAGAGCGAUUUAAUGCAGAAUACGAUGAUGAAGACGCAACUUACUUUGAUGACCUGAGGGAGGAGCUGCAGAAACAGGCUGAGGUAUCAUCACUUCAGCUGAACAGGGCAGAGUUUGAGUAUGUGGACGAUGAGUGCAGUACGAAGGCUUCAGGCCAGGAAUGUAAAUCAGAUUAGAAAUCUCCUCCCUCCCCCGUGAAAUUGUCAACAACUUCGAUCCCCAUUACCCCAUCAUCCUCGGAGGUCUGGGCUUCAGUGAAGGCAACAUAGGAUACCUGCAGUUGCAACUAAAGAAACAAAGCUGGUAUAAGCGCUUCCUGAAGACACGGGACCCCCUCAUCCUGUCCCUGGUCUGGAGGCGCUUCCAGACCAUCCCCCUCUACCACAUUGAAGAUCACAACGGAUGCAACCGCCUGCUCAAAUACACACCGGAGCACAUGCACUGUGGAGCCUCCAUCUGGGGUCCCAUCACACCACAGAGCACCGGUUUCCUCGCUCCGCAGACAGUAGCAGGAGUUAAAGUAAGUCACUAAAUCACUUGGUACAGUUCAAAUAUUAGAGAAUAACCUCAUUUAAAUUACAGUUGUAACACACGUGAGAACAUUGCCACCUUC